UACGUAGGGGGCAAGCGUUGUCCGGAUUUAUUGGGCGUAAAGAGCGUGUAGGCGGUUUGGUAGGUCCGCUGUGAAAACUCGAGGCUCAACCUCGAGACGCCGGUGGAAACCAUCAGACUAGAGUCCGGAAGAGGAGAGUGGAAUUCCUGGUGUAGCGGUGAAAUGACGCAGAUAUCAGGAAGAACACCCCGUGGCUAAGGCGGCUCUCUAGUACGGUACUGACGCUGAGACGCGAAAGCGUGGGGAGCGAACAGG
rnacentral:rRNA from 1 species